rnacentral:misc_RNA from 1 species
CAACCAUCAAGCCUGAGUUGCUUGUGUUGGAGCACUACAGGGAAACCUGUAGGCUCUGAAAUUCAGCGGCGGACCUGCUGAGACUCCGAGCGCAGUAGUUUUCAACUCGCUUAGGUUGUCCAGUUGGUAUCUCUAGCCGUUAAACCCCCAAUUUUAAU